UGGGGAAUAUUGCACAUUGGGGGAAACCCUGAUGCAGCGACGCCGCGUGAACGAAGAAGGUAUUCGUAUCGUAAAGUUCUGUCCUAUGGGAAGAUAAUGACAGUACCAUAGAAGAAAGCUCCGGCUAAAUACGUGCCAGCAGCCGCGGUAAUACGUAUGGAGCGAGCGUUGUCCGGAAUUAUUGGGCGUAAAGGGUACGCAGGCGGUUUAAUAAGUCGAAUGUUAAAGAUCGGGGCUCAACCCCGCAAAGCAUUGGAAACUGAUAAACUUGAGUAGUGGAGAGGAAAGUGGAAUUCCUAGUGUAGUGGUGAAAUACGUAGAUAUUAGGAGGAAUACCAGUAGCGAAGGCGACUUUCUGGACACAAACUGACGCUGAGGUACGAAAGCGUGGGGAGCAAACAGG
rnacentral:rRNA from 1 species